GACGAACGCUGGCGGCGUGCCUAAUACAUGCAAGUCGAGCGAAGUUUUUCUGGUGCUGCACUAGAAAAACUUAGCGGCGAACGGGUGAGUAACACGUAAAGAACCUGCCUCAUAGACUGGGACAACUAUUGGAAACGAUAGCUAAUACCGGAUAACAGUAUUUCUCGCAUGAGAGAUAUUUAAAAGUUGGUUAUGCUAACACUAUGAGAUGGCUUUGCGGUGCAUUAGCUAGUUGGUGGGGUAAAGGCCCACCAAGGCGACGAUGCAUAGCCGACCUGAGAGGGUGAUCGGCCACACUGGGACUGAGACACGGCCCAGACUCCUACGGGAGGCAGCAGUAGGGAAUCUUCCGCAAUGGGCGAAAGCCUGACGGAGCAACGCCGCGUGAGUGAAGAAGG
rnacentral:rRNA from 1 species